ACAAUGCCUCCUGAAAGGUGCCUCUUUGGAGUAAUGCUGAAUAUCGCUGCCGUUUUAGGCAUUGCUACUAUCUAUGUUCGUUACAAGCAAGUUCAUGCACUGAACCCUGAAGAGAACCUUAUCAUCAAAUUAAACAAGGCUGGCCUUGUACUUGGGAUACUGAGUUGUUUAGGACUUUCUCUUGUGGCAAAUUUCCAGGGUUAUGUGCUUCACAUAGUUACUACUGCAGCAGAAUGGUCUAUGUCAUUUUCCUUCUUUGGAUUUUUCCUGACUUAUAUUCGUGAUUUUCAGAAAAUUACUUUACGGGUGGAAGCCAAUUUACAUGGAUUAACCCUCUAUGACACUGUUCCUUGCCCUGUUACCAAUGAAAGAACACCAUUGCUUUCCAGAGAUUUUCAAUGAAUGGAUAAACAUCUUCUGUGAUGAUUGUGAUUCUCAGGGACUGAGAAAAGAUGCAUAAAAGUUGCUUAUUAUACUGUGA
rnacentral:lncRNA from 1 species